ACUCCUACGGGAGGCAGCAGUAGGGAAUCUUCCACAAUGGACGAAAGUCUGAUGGAGCAACGCCGCGUGAGUGAAGAAGGGUUUCGGCUCGUAAAACUCUGUUGUUAAAGAAAGAACAUAUCUGAGAGUAACUGUUCAGGUAUUGACGGUAUUUAACCAGAAAGCCACGGCUAACUACGUGCCAGCAGCCGCGGUAAUACGUAGGUGGCAAGCGUUGUCCGGAUUUAUUGGGCGUAAAGCGAGCGCAGGCGGUUUUUAAGUCUGAUGUGAAAGCCUUCGGCUCAACCGAAGAAGUGCAUCGGAAACUGGGAAACUUGAGUGCAGAAGAGGACAGUGGAACUCCAUGUGUAGCGGUGAAAUGCGUAGAUAUAUGGAAGAACACCAGUGGCGAAGGCGGCUGUCUGGUCUGUAACUGACGCUGAGGCUCGAAAGUAUGGGCAGCAAACAGGAUUAGAUACCCUGGUAGGAUAGCG
rnacentral:rRNA from 1 species